UUCUACUCAGUGCUCAGCCAUAGUGAUUGCACUAUUUGAGAGGCUGCUAGAGAGGGAUAAUUUUUAACUGUUAGUGAAUUGAAAACCACAGGCUGGGAACUUCAUUGAAGCCCUCUCAGUGAUUCACAUUACCG